rnacentral:rRNA from 1 species
UACAGAGGUCCCGAGCGUUGUUCGGAUUCACUGGGCGUAAAGGGUGCGUAGGCGGUUCUGAAAGUCUGAUGUGAAAUCUCCGGGCCCAACCCGGAAAUGGCAUUAGAAACUGCAGGGCUAGAGGCUUGGAGGGGGAACUGGAAUGCUCGGUGUAGCAGUGAAAUGCGUAGAGAUCGAGCGGAACACCAGUGGCGAAGGCGGUUCUCUGGGCAUUACCUGACGCUGAGGAGCGAAAGUGUGGGGAGCGAACAGG